rnacentral:rRNA from 1 species
UACGGGGGGGGGCAAGCGUUGUUCGGAAUUACUGGGCGUAAAGGGCGCGUAGGCGGCCUGCUAAGUCGGACGUGGAAUCCCUCGGCUCAACCGGGAACUGCGUCCGAUACUGGAUGGCUUGAGUUCGGGAGAGGGAUGCGGAAUUCCAGGUGUAGCGGUGAAAUGCGUAGAUAUCUGGAGGAACACCGGUGGCGAAGGCGGCAUCCUGGACCAAUUCUGACGCUGAGGAGCGAAAGCCAGGGGAGCAAACGGG